rnacentral:misc_RNA from 1 species
GAUGAAGAACGUAGCGAAGUGCGAUAAGUAAUGUGAAUUGCAGAAUUCCGUGAAUCAUCGAAUCUUUGAACGCAAAUUGCACUUUCUGGUAUUCCGGAGAGUAUCCCUGUUUGAGGGUCAGUGUAAUAAAUAAAUCGUGGUUGUUACCACUUUUCGUGGUGACGCUUCGGAAUUGAGUCGUCUUACCCUUCGGGUUAAGUGAUUUAAAAUUUUUUCAUACGAUUUCGAAACGUAUUUAAUGUAUUAUGUACGUUCACGAAUAUCGAAUGUUUAUUAGGUGCGGUCAUUUUCAUGAAUUCGCGUCUAUAAUUUUUUUUUUUUGACCUCAAAUCAGGUAAGAAUACCCGCUGAACUUAAGCAUAUCAAUAAGCGGAGGA